AUCUGGCCGGUCCUCCUAAGUAUUAUGUAUGGAUGUUCAUGCCAAGGUGUGACACAUGCCUCCCUCUGGCCUCAUCAGGACAUCAGUACAUUACCUAUCUGAGA